UACGUAGGGGGCAAGCGUUGUCCGGAAUCAUUGGGCGUAAAGCGCGUGUAGGCGGCCAGAAAAGUCCGCUGUGAAAAUUCGAGGCUCAACUUCGAGCUGUCGGUGGAAACUUUCUGGCUAGAGUCCGGAAGAGGAGAAUGGAAUUCCUGGUGUAGCGGUGAAAUGCGCAGAUAUCAGGAAGAACACCCGUGGCGAAGGCGGCUCUCUGGGACGUGACUGACGCUGAGACGCGAAAGCGUGGGGAGCGAACAGG
rnacentral:rRNA from 1 species